rnacentral:lncRNA from 1 species
CCACCCGUUGCGCCCUUCAUCGUAGGUCGCCGACACGCCCUUUGCCUUUUGUUGGACACAUCCCCAUUAGAACAUAUCAUUGUUUUGUUAGUGCCUCUGACUGUUGUGCCAUGGCGAUUUGUGAAUAAUGAAAAAAAGUUCAGAAUAACUCAAGUUGGCAUGUGCGAGUGCCUGCGAUACUCAGGUUGCAGUUUAGUCUCUUCGGACUCCAGAUUGCCUCACUUGUGGUUUUCUAAACUCUACCUCAGAGUGUUACAUCUCAUUUUUCGGCUCACUUCUUUUUUGUUUGGGGAAUAGGAUAUGUUGGUAUUGUUUCUGUUCUUCAGUCACAGUUGGUGGUCCAUGCCCGGGGGAGGGGGUGGUUGAUCUUUGAGUUCAGCUGUACACACUUGAUUCCUACACAUAUUAAGAUCAGAGAUAAUGUGCCAUGGGGUGAUCUUUGAGUUCGGCUGCAGGCAGUCAAUUUCUUAACAUAUUCAGAUCAGAGAUAAUGUGCCAUGGUGACUUGUGUAUAAUUGAAAUUCAGAAUGAACUUAAUCUACCAUGUGAGUGCCUGCGAUACACUCAGGUUGCAGUUUCUCAAAUAUUGAAUGUUUAGUCCCUUGAGACUCCACAUUGGCACAACUUGCUGUUUUCUGAACUCUACUUCACAAUGUUAUACCCGAUGUCUCGGCUCGCAAUUUUUGGUGUUGCUUCUAUUCUUUGGUGACAGUUAGCUAUUUGAAUGAUUUAGCAAAGGAUAGCUACAUAGUAUGGCAAAGUACGUUUGGUGUCCCGCUGAAGCUGAAAGCAUACAGAGCACCUGUAAUUAGUUUUUAGUCGACGAAUUUCAGCUAGAUCAUAGUGUUGCGGCUCUGAACUAUGGUGAUUGUGGACAACCGCUGCUACAGAUCCUCACGCUCGCCUCCACCAGGCACAUGGUCUCCAAUCGUCAAGACGCCCGACCCUCCUCGGCUGCUACUGCUGCAGCCGGCACCACUUUCCUUAUCUCGACCCGGUCCCUGCGAGGAACCCAUCUACGUGCCGACCAGUCCAAGGAACUCACAUCACCUCCAUCAAGGUACUCGUGCUUCUGCAUUGUUAGUUCCGAUUUCAUCAAUGGGCGACGUUUACAUUUGUGUGUCUCACUAGCAGGAAAACAAUGACCUAUGUGAUUAGAAGUAUGUGCUUGCUUCUUCAUGAAGAGCCAAAAAAGGUACCAAUCGGUCCUUCUAUUUAAAUAAAUGAUGUUGCAUGUUUAAAAUUAUAUGUUAAUCCCAUUAUUUAUUUUCAGUGCAAGAAUAUGCAGAGAGAACCAUAGACUAUAAAUACAUGAGGUUGCACUGUACAUUACCGCGCACAGGCUUUCUCCCUGUUACAUAGGCCUUUAUAAUUACUUGAGCUGUCCAUACUUGGAUUAGCAACUAAAUCUUAGAUAAUACGAAACUUGUUCUCACAUGUCCAUUUUCCAUAAUUCUUAUAUGUCCAUUCUAGAUAUUGAACCUAGAAGCAUGCACUUCAUGUACAAAAUAUCUAAGAUUUAUAGUAUUUACUCAUAUCUCUGACCACAAGAUACAAUCACUAACUAUAUAGUACAAUAAGAUUUAAUCUCUGAAUAAAACCUCACCAAAGAAUCUUCAUACAGAAGUAUAGACGUUGAUGCAACUGUAUAGAGCAUGGUCACCAACAGAUCCACACAUUUGGUCAGUGAUGAACUAAUGCAACCUAUUAGUACAUGAGGUAUUUCUCUUUCUUUCUCUGAACUACUCUUUCUCUUUCACAUACGCAGUUCAGCACCUUCUAUGAACUGCACCUUCUAUCAUGUCUGAUUGAUAAUUCUUGUAGUGGGAGGGGAGGAUAUUCGAUCUGAGUAUGUCAGAUAGGAGGAGCAAGACGGAAUUAAUAAGGCAAGAAUUAUUUUCCUUUUAGUUUGGCUCUCUGUUGCUUCAUGAUGAUAUUAUCUAACUGAUGAACAUGGAACAUUGUACGGGACUGAUGAAAGAGUUCUUUCGCUUCACCAGGCAUGAAACUUUUGACCCAUCCCUGCAAUGUAUUUUCAUAGUGCCCUUGUAUAAGUAAAUGGAGGGAGUAUUACUAAAACCAAGUAUCAAUCUGAGACUGGUUGUUUUUUUAUUGUGGUCUGACAAGACUUAAAUAUUCUGCAUUAGUUUUUUAUAUCUGCAGAGUGUGCACAUGACUUUCUUCCCUGCCUUUACUUAUUAAUGAAAAAUAAACAACAAUGCAUGAUAUCUUUACUAAAUUAAUAACACUAAGUAGGAAUUCAGAACAAUAACGCAUUAAUAACAACGGGUAGGAAUUCUGAAUAAAAAUAUUACAUGAGAAAUAUGGCAUGCACCUUAACAUAGAAAUGUCCUUUUCAAUUGCUUAGAUGUUAAUGUUGCAAAUGUUCUUUUCCUGUUCUCUUAAUAAUGGUUUUAGAUGGAGAGCUGCGCCCAUGUUGUAUGCCAACAUUGGUCCUUAGAUUAGUCAAUUUUUGUCGCAGCAUAUGUUCUCUAUAGAUUUUUUUAAAGGUCUAUGGAAUUUCAUCUGCAAGCUUUUGAUCCUAAUGGCUACAUCCUUAUAAAGCUAUUUCUUGUUUGUAAGAUGAAUAUUGUCUAUGUCAAGACUCAAGACUCAAGAGAAGCAAGAGUGCAUAGGAGUGGCAGUUGUUCAACCAAGGUAAUCACUUGAACCGAAUAUUUCUGAAUUAUAAUUAAAAGUGAACGGUUUCUUAUCUAACAUAUACCUUUUGAAAAUUGGUCGUGUUUCAUAUAUAGCUUAGACGUAGCAUGUCAUGUAUGAAUUUAUUUUCCACUGGGUGGAAGCAUUUUAUGCUCUUACCUUUCUUAUGCUUUUAAGACUUUUCAUUUUGGCUUUAUUAGUCAGGACGUGCAUUGCAUGUACACGAUUAAUAGGUACAAAAUGCCAAACUGGUAAAAGCGCACUUUAUUAUCAGUUCAGUCCAAAUGGAUUGUGCAACAUUUGCAUGUAAGAGUAGAUUUAGAUGGAAGUGGAGGGAAAGGAAUAAGAGUAUUAAAUAUGUUAUGUGCAUUCUUUACAAAACUCUUUCCCUUCUGUUACAUGUUUUAGUUAUAUGCUAUCAUCCACCACAUCUGUAUCACUCGAUUGCAAGCUUUGAUUGGUUUGAUGCUGCUCAAUUGGAAUUUUUUUUCUUCCUUUUCUUGAAACAUGGUGUGUAGGCUUUUGAUUGACCUGUAGCAGUUAGCUUGCCUUCUUUCUGUUUGAUCAGUUUUGCCAAAAAAUGGACACCAAAUUUUCUGAAACGACAAGAUGUGCAAUUAGCCUUGGUCUGCUUUUCAUAUGGUAUAGUUCUAAAUUCGAUUUAACACGACUCUUCGUAAUACUUUGUUGAAGUCGAACUAGGCAGCAGGGUCAGGUUGAUUAUUGUUUCAUGUGUCAUGUUGUAUUGCUUCAAUCACUAAUUCUGAAGAUUCGGUUGUCCUUCUGCCCACUUAACGUUGUCAGCUAGAUCCUUUGUGCAUUCUAAUUCAGGUUAUAUUUUUUCACCUACCACGUCCAUUAUGUUGUCGAGUGGUGUUGCAUUAAUAGUUGAGUACAUCCUAUUUGUUUCAAUUGGUGAUCCCACUGUAAAUCCAAUAUAAUUUUUUGAAUUUAAAAAUGCCCAUAUUGUUAGGAUGGUCAGAGGGUAUUACAAGGAGCGAGAGAGAUACAUGGAAGGAGAGAUUACGUAGCAAGGCACAGGGCACACAGGACGCAAAGUGUCACAUAUGGGCUACCGGGCGAAAACAGUCGACCCAAGCAAGGCCCUCGUGGCAGUGGUCAGCACGUUUAGAUCAUAAAUCAUAUGUGUUCUUAUUUUAUGGCUAAUUAGCUAAACACAGUUGCUACAUAGUGGUUCCACUUGCUGACAACGGUGAGGUGCAACAGAGAUUGCCCUAAGAUACACAAAUAUAUUGUUGAAUAUAUCAAAGUUGUCUCGAGCUAACUCUUCUAACUUCUGCAAUAGCCAAUAUACAUGGCAUGUUGUUCUCCAGACAGAGGUCAAUUCAUUUUUUGAUGUCAUUGUCUAUUGCAUUCAUGAUAAGCACAUGCUGACUUUCAUAUUAUCAUUUUAGAUAUAUCUUGUGUUACAAGUUGUCAGAUCAUUGUUGAUGCUCCUACAUCACUAUGACUUUUGAA